rnacentral:rRNA from 1 species
UGUUAGGGCACGACACCGGAGAGGGAGCCUGAGAAACGGCUACCACAUCCAAGGAUGGCAGCAGGCGCGCAAAUUACCCAAUCCCGACACGGGGAGGUAGUGACAAUAAAUAACAAUACGGGGUUCUUUAGGAUCUCGUAAUUGGAAUGAGUACAAUUUAAAUCUCUUAACGAGGAACAAUUGGGGGGCAAGUCUGGUGCCAGCAGCCGCGGUAAUUCCAGCUCCAAUAGCGUAUAUUAAAGUUGUUGCAGUUAAAAAGCUCGUAGUUGAAUUUCGGGGUUAGUAGGUUGGUCAUGCCUCUGGUAUGUGCUGGUCUCACUGAUUCCUCCUUCCUUAUGAACCGUAAUGCCAUUAAUUUGGUGUUGCGGGAAAUUUGGACUGUUACUUUGAAAAAAUUAGAGUGUUUAAAGCAAGCUAACGCUUGAAUACAUUAGCAUGGAAUAAUGAAAUAGGACGUUCGAUCUUAUUUUGUUGGUUUCUAGGAUUGACGUAAUGAUUAAUAGGGAUAGUUGGGGGCAUUAGUAUUCAAUUGUCAGAGGUGAAAUUCUUGGAUUUAUUGAAGACUAACUACUGCGAUAGCAUUUGCCAAGGAUGUUUUCAUUAAUCAAGAACGAAAGUUAGGGGAUCGAAGACGAUCAGAUACCGUCGUAGUCUUAACCAUAAACUAUGCCGACUAGGGAUCGGAUGAUGUUA